rnacentral:rRNA from 1 species
UUUCUANUGGGCGAAAGCCUGAAGGAGCGACGCCGCGUGGGGGAUGAAUGGCUUCGGCCCGUAAACCCCUGUCAUUUGCGAUCAAACCUUACGACCUAACACGUCGUGAGCUGAUAGUAGCGGAAGAGGAAGGGACGGCUAACUCUGUGCCAGCAGCCGCGGUAAUACAGAGGUCCCAAGCGUUGUUCGGAUUCACUGGGCGUAAAGGGUGCGUAGGCGGUCGGGUAAGUCUGACGUGAAAUCUUCAAGCUCAACUUGGAAACUGCGUCGGAUACUAUUCGGCUAGAGGAAUGGAGGGGAGACUGGAAUACUUGGUGUAGCAGUGAAAUGCGUAGAUAUCAAGUGGAACACCAGUGGCGAAGGCGAGUCUCUGGACAUUUCCUGACGCUGAGGCACGAAAGCCAGGGGAGCAAACGGGAUUAGAUACCCCGGUAGUCCUGGCCCUAAACGGUGCACGUUUGCUGUAAGAGGAAUCGACCCCUUUUGUGGCGAAGCUAACGCGUUAAACGUGCCGCCUGGGAAGUACGGCCGCAAGGUUAAAACUCAAAAAAAUUGACGGA